GUGGGGAAUAUUGGACAAUGGGCGAAAGCCUGAUCCAGCCAUGCCGCGUGAGUGAUGAAGGCCUUAGGGUUGUAAAGCUCUUUUACCCGGGAAGAUAAUGACUGUACCGGGAGAAUAAGCCCCGGCUAACUCCGUGCCAGCAGCCGCGGUAAUACGGAGGGGGCUAGCGUUGUUCGGAAUUACUGGGCGUAAAGCGUACGUAGGCGGUUUUGUAAGUUAGAGGUGAAAGCCCGGAGCUCAACUCCGGAACUGCCUUUAAGACUGCAUCACUUGAACGUCGGAGAGGUGAGUGGAAUUCCGAGUGUAGAGGUGAAAUUCGUAGAUAUUCGGAAGAACACCAGUGGCGAAGGCGGCUCACUGGACGACUGUUGACGCUGAGGUACGAAAGCGUGGGGAGCAAACAGGAUUAGAAACCCGUGUAGUCC
rnacentral:rRNA from 1 species